rnacentral:rRNA from 1 species
UGGGGAAUAUUGGGCAAUGGGCGAAAGCCUUACCCAGCAAUGCCGCGUGAGUGAAGAAGGUCUUCGGAUUGUAAAGCUCUUUGAUUAGGGAAGAAUAAAUGACUGUACCUAAAGAACAAGCCCCGGCUAACUAUGUGCCAGCAGCCGCGGUAAUACAUAGGGGGCAAGCGUUAUCCGGAUUGACUGGGCGUAAAGGGUGUGUAGGUGGUUUUGUAAGUUAGAAGUGAAAUACCUGUGCUUAACACAGGUGCUGCUUCUAAGACUGCUAGACUUGAGUGCAGGAGAGGAGAAUGGGAUUCCUAGUGUAGCGGUGGAAUGCGUAGAUAUUAGGAGGAACACCAGUGGCGAAAGCGAUUCUCUGGACUGUAACUGACACUGAGGCACGAAAGCGUGGGGAGCAAACA